rnacentral:rRNA from 1 species
ACACGCAUGACACACUGCAUAUCAAUAAGCGGAGGAAAAGAAACUAACAAUGGAUUCCCUUAGUAACGGCGAGUGAAGCGGGAAGAGCUCAAAUUUGAAAUCUUCAAGGUUUUACCUUGACGAAUUGUAGUUUAAAGAAGUGUUUUCUGUUGGAGUUUUGGUAAAAGUUCUUUGGAAUAGGACAUCAUAGAGGGUGAGAAUCCCGUAUUUGACCAUUAUUUCCAGCUGUGUGAUACACUUUCAAGGAGUCGGAUUGUUUGGGAAUGCAGUCCAAAAUGGGUGGUAAAUUCCAUCUAAAGCUAAAUAUUGGCGAGAGACCGAUAGCGAACAAGUACCGUGAGGGAAAGAUGAAAAGAACUUUGAAAAGAGAGUUAAACAGUACGUGAAAUUGUCAAAAGGGAAGCGUUUGACACCAGUGUUGUUUUCUCGAAAAUCAAUUAAAAAUGAUGGGAUUUUGUGUUGUAUUGACUUUAUCAGCUUUCUGCACUUUUUUCUUAUCUUUUUUAAUGCACUUUUCGUUUAUCAAGUCAACAUCAAUUUCUUUUGUUGUAAAAGAGUCAUUGGAAGGUGGCUUUUUCUUCGGAAAAAGUGUUUAUAGCCUUUGGCUUCUGCAAUCGGAGAGAUUGAGGUCUGCAGCGUAGAUCCUUCGGGGUUAGAUACAUUUGUGCUAAGCUAUAGUUCUUUAUAGACAACUUGUUGACUAUAAUCAAUCCUGUAACUUACUCGCUUAUGCUAUUUUACCUACGCUUAGGAUGUUGAGCGCAUGUCUCUCUCU